rnacentral:lncRNA from 9 species
AACUCGGCAAAGCUGGGCGCCGGCUCCUCUGGGAGGCGCUGCGGGCUGGGAGCAGGGGGGCCACGGGUGAGUCUUCCUGCUCACUUCGCGGUAGGCGCUCCUGCCUUGGGUGUAGCUGGUGGUGGGAGUGCUGACUGGAGGCGGGGUGGCGGGGAGAGGGGCUUGGGUGGGAGUCCUCCCGGGUAGGGCCCACACUCGCCCCGCCGGCCUCAGACUGGCUCCUGGGAGACCAGACAGCGUCUGCACAACGAACCCGGCCAGAGGCUCCGACUUGGCCCCGGCGCUGCACCGGCCUGCGGUCCCUGUGUGUGGGCCUCGGUUUCCACGGGAGGUUGAGUGCAUUCUGCUGUGCGACCCUCUGGGGGCGGCAGGGGGCGCCCCCGGCCCACGGGAACGCGCUCGGGGGGACAAAGAGGGUGCGCGACAGCCAGAAGCAGCUCUGACAGGGCCACCGGCUCAGCCUAGUGUUGGGGACACAGGUCAGUGGAGCCCAGCUUGGCAGCAGGUUCCCUUGCUCUUACCUCAUCUGCACCUGCUGGCUUCUGGACAAGGAGUGGGAUCACGUGGUCCAGGAGGAGCUCGGCACAGGAACAGAGCCACCGCCCCACUGGGUGCAAUUCUGGCUGAGCGGACCCAGCCCUGCCCGUGCUGGACACUUGACCCCUUGGCUGCAGAGGCUGGAGUAGGAGGGGCAGGGACUACGCCUGCCCUGAGCUCUAAUUCUGGGACUUGGGUUGCAAGAGUUGGGAAGAAAAAUCACUCUUCCUACUGAGUCUGGAACUGGCAGAGCCACCAUAUGGUGAGAGACGUCGACACUGAAGACAGGGCCAAGAGACACAGGAUCCAGGAGACUGGGGUAGGG